rnacentral:lncRNA from 1 species
AAGAGCUGGCAAAAGGCAAUCUUUCCCAUGUGCUCCUACUCACAAAGAUUUCACAAUUUGAUGAUGACUCACACAUCUGCAUGGAAAAAUAUGCUACUACCCUCAGCUGCAGUAGUUUAUGCCUUUCGCUCCUCUAGAAUGAUUACCCAGAAGUAUGUAAUAGUCACCUAAUGGGGAGCAGGUGUGAGAAGAAACAGUCAUUUGCUCCGAGUUCUGGGGACAUCUGAUUAAAAACCAAGUCAAAGACCGCAUAUUCCAGAGGUCCUUUCUGAUCAUCCUGAUUGAUACCGGGAUUUCAUUUUUGGCAUGGUGAGGGUGGCCAAUAAGUAUUUGUUAAGACCAAUUUUGUAUAAUGUCUUUUUCUUUGGAUGAUUUUUUACCUGCAUCUUCAAUGGUCAUAGAAAUGGUCUUUCCUAGGGGUUUAAAACGUAUUGCAAGUAGAGUAUCAUCUGGAAUACUCAAGAGAUCCAAAAAGCCAUCAGACAUUCUUUCUCUCCGUAUUAUUUGGAAUCGUCCAACUUUUAACAGGCUGUACAAUUGUCCUUUAUUUUCCUUUCUAAUUGGAAUUUCAACUAGGAAUGCCUGUAGGUAUUGAAUGCCCUCACUUCACAUGACUUGCUGCACUAGGCAAUGAUAAAGGAUGCCCAUACAUUGGCCCAAAAUUGCUACACUGCCAUCGUUUUUGGUACGAUACCAUAUUAAAACCUAUGUCUUGAGAGACAGUGACAGUGCCUAAAAAUAAUGGAGAUGAGAUUUUCCCAGCUUUUCGGAGGAUCCUGAAAAUAAAAUACUACAUGCCUUCUAAGUGACGAAUGAUAUCUUCUUAUAAACAGCAUCGUAAGAUCACACACACAUACACAUACCCACAAAAAUCACAUAAAGAUGAGAAGUGGGCAUUUGAGUUUCUAGUGAAUAUUUUCUAGAUCCAUGAUACAUGGGGUGAGCAGCAGUGGAUGUGCAGUGAAAUUCACAGCAGGCAGAUGGGAACGUGGAGAAAUUCUACAAACCUUUGGGAGCCAGACAGCUCCAACCU